AAACAAACUCAUUAGAUUCACUCUUUGGGUUAUACAGUCAUGUUCACCCGAAUUGAUUCAGAAAACACAAGCAAUUCUAAUUAUCUACACCCGUCCCCUUUUCACAUAUAUUUAAUCUACAUGUUACAUUGUUACCUAUAUUAAUAUUUAUUAAAUCACAAAUGUUUUCAUUACUUUUUUUCUAAACAGCAAAAGAGUGAAGAAAUGUAAUAAUAUAACUAAUACUAAUGCAACAUAAUAUUACAAAUAAAUGUUUAAAAAAUACAUAUUACAAACAAUAUGAAUACUCAAUCUGUGUGUAGAGGUUACGAAAUUUAAAACUACUUUUUCAGCAUUCAUACUUCAGUCACUUAACUAACCAAUUAAAUUGUUUCCGUUCUCCAUUGAAAAAGGCAUUGUUCACAGGGAUGUAAAGCUAGGUAACUUUGCCUUCUCUACAAAGAGUCAGACCCGAAUUUGAGAGUGUGCCCAUGGAGUAAAUGCACAGGGCCCAACUUUUACUAAUUUUCUUUAGAAUUUAGGGCCCUAAAUUUUUUAAACCAUUACAAAACAUGACCUAAUAAUUUUAAUGAUUUUACUUUAUUAAAUAACAUUUGUAAAAAAAUUUGGACUAGCACUGGACCCUCAAUCUCCAUGAGACGGGCCUGCAAAGAGCAAACAAGCUAUCUCAUUGCCUUUAUAACCUCGCCACAGUUGGCAAUUCUCUAGCACGUUUCUCUUAUCUAUAGCAACAACUACCGGUUAAUGUUUCAUAUAAAAUAAUCAUAGGUAACAAUCAUAUUUUUUGAAUACUAAGGCCAUUGUCUAAUAGAAGCACUGAACAACUUUGCUAACACAUGCGUUCAUGUUAAGAUAGCUUUAUGAUAUAACCCUAAUCAUUGAAUAAUUUUGAUAUAUUUGAACUUUUUUUUUUUUACAAAAUUGAGAUAAAUUUUAAAUUUAGUUUCACGUUUUCAGACUAAUUUUAAUUGAUUAUCUAUAAAAACAGCAUUGAAAGACCAUGUUGUCAACUACAUAAUACCAAAUAAGAAUAUAUACAUAAUACACAAAACCAAACUACAUUACUCUUUUUAGUGUAGAAUAUGCGCUAAAAAAGAUAGAAUUUCAUAUUUCAAAUAUACGUCAAAUAAAAAAAUAAAGUUGUUAGAAAUAUACAAAUUAAGUUAGUACAAAAAUAUUUACAGAUUAUGUUAAGAAAACUAAAUACAAAAUUAAAGUAAACAUUUAACAUAGACACAACAAUCCGUGCGUAGCACGGACACGGACCUAGUACAAUACUAAAAGCCGAAUAAGAAGAGCAACGAGCGUGCCACGUAGGAUUUUUUAUUCAGGCCAAUCAUGAAGCUCUGUUUUGCCACGUCACUUUUAUUUUGUCGACAAAAAAUUUAAAAGGUCCAGUAAAUCUGGGCUGAACAAAAAAAAAUAGACCUAUAUAGAACAGCCCAUAUCUUAUUCUACGCAGAAUGUUCGUCGCCUUCAACUCCGACUCUUCCAAUUCACUAUUCUAAUCUCUGCAAUCUCUCUGUAAUUAUUACACCCCAAUCUUGCUCAUUCAAUUCUGAUAUUUUCUCCUAUCUUCAUUAGAGAUUAUCGUUCCACCUUCCUUUAUUUUUCCUGUUAUAUAAACCCCUUGAUGAUAUGAUAAGACAGGUCCGUUAACUAUUGUCAUUCCAGCCUGAGUUAUCUAAAAUAUGAACCCUCGAUUCCAGAUUCAUAACACAAUGACAAUUUGUUGUUCUCUACAUUUGAAAGUCAGUCGUAGAACUCGGCCUCACGCUGGUGCUGAUCGUCUUCUCCGUCGUCGUUUUAGAAGCUUGGAGAAGGAGACACAGUAACGUUUCUGUCGACACCGUGACAACUACACUCGAGGGUCCUACAUCUUAAAAACAGGUACUGUCUGAAUUCAAUAUAUUUUUUCUGGGAUUUUUCUGUUAGUGUGUUUACAGUUAAUGGAACUGAGAAAAGGUCUUGCCUUUGAAUCCUAUUAGCCUAUAGAACGUUUAAAGACGAGAGCUUUGACAUUAUUAUUAUUAUUAGUAUUUGUAGGAGAGUUUGUCUAACGAUGUGUGUUGUUUAAGAAAUAAAAGAGUAAAACAGACAGAUCGUGGAUGCGCAGUUGUAUGAUAAUAAUUUCAAGAGAGGAGCAAGCAAAAAGCUUCACUUGAGAAGGAAAUUCAUCAUACUGUCGGUAGAAAGAUAAGAAGAAAAGUUGAUGACGAGAUCAACAACAGAUUGAGUUUGGGAACACUUUUCUUCCAGCCUAACUUCCUGGUUACGGUUGAGCAGAUUCUUGAAGAUGCUCCCAAAGUCUUAGAUCUGCGAUUGGCUACUUUAUGAAAUCCAUUGAAGGGACAUGCUGGAUUAUCUAAUGAUGAUAAAGACGAAAACGGAAGGACUCUAGAGGUACAUGAAAUUAUCGAUACCUUUUUGAUGUAUCUUAAUACGGGUCAUGAAUCCUCUGGACACACGCAUUAUUUGGGCUACCCCCUCAGAUACUACAGAAGAUAAAUGUAAAAUAAUAAUAUAUGUUUAUAUAAUCCUUUUCCAUUUAUUUUUACAAGCUUGAAUAGUAAUUUUCCUUAUAUACACAGGGAUAACAAGAUGCGAUUGUUAAAAACUAAGCAGUGUACCAGAAAUUGAGUAAAAAACAGAGACGUACAAAUGUACAAUGACUUACUACUACCUUUCUCAGGCGUCUCAUUGCAAAACAAGUUUAAGGCGUCUAAAAUUAAUACAUCUUAUUUAUAGGGAAGCUAAUGUUUGCUUCAUCAUCGGUGACACAAUUUUACUUUGGCAACACAAUACAAAUCAUUAGAGACUUCAGAAGCAUGAUAAGAGUCAAGUUUAAUGCAUGAGUUUGAACAAAACAACACCAAACUCAGAGGAUGAUCUUCAAGAAAACUUAACUAAAAUCAACAUUUCAAGUCUUUCAGACUGUCUAAUAAUUUAGAUAGCAUAAUCAGUCGUCUAAGUAUAAAAUAUUUAUAUUCAAAUAUGUUUGCUUCAUCAUCGGUGACACAAUUUUACUUUGGCAACACAAUACAAAUCAUUAGAGACUUCAGAAGCAUGAUAAGAGUCAAGUUUAAUGCAUGAGUUUGAACAAAACAACACCAAACUCAGAGGAUGAUCUUCAAGAAAACUUAACUAAAAUCAACAUUUCAAGUCUUUCAGACUGUCUAAUAAUUUAGAUAGCAUAAUCAGUCGUCUAAGUAUAAAAUAUUUAUAUUCAAAUAUGAAUUCUAAAAUAAUCUUAAUUUAAUUUAAAUAUAUGAAAAAAAAUCCGGGCGUAGCCCGGGAAAAUCUCUAGUUUUCGUAAUUAAGGGAUGAAAUCUAUUGACUAUUAUUCGUUUAUGAAUUAGAUCUCUAUAAUAUCAUGAUCCUUUCACUAAUUAGGAAAAUUGUUAUUUUUGGGUGUUCAAUCCGGAUAUCGGUUCGGUUUAGGUUCGGUUUUUUUUUGUUUUUGGUAUUUCGGUUAGUAAAAU